rnacentral:rRNA from 1 species
UACGAAGGGGGCUAGCGUUGCUCGGAAUCACUGGGCGUAAAGCGCACGUAGGCGGACUCUUAAGUCGGUGGUGAAAUCCUGGAGCUCAACUCCAGAACUGCCUUCGAUACUGGCGAUCUCGAGUUCGGGAGAGGUGAGUGGAACUGCGAGUGUAGAGGUGAAAUUCGUAGAUAUUCGCAAGAACACCAGUGGCGAAGGCGGCUCACUGGCCCGAUACUGACGCUGAGGUGCGAAAGCGUGGGGAGCAAACAGG